GGCCUUGUACACACCGCCCGUCACACCACGAGAGUUUGUAACACCCGAAGUCGGUGAGGUAACCUUUUAGGAGCCAGCCGCCGAAGGUGGGACAGAUGAUUGGGGUGAAGUCGUAACAAGGUAGCCGUAUCGGAAGGUGCGGCUGGAUCACCUCCUUUCUAAGGA
rnacentral:rRNA from 1 species